GACGAACGCUGGCGGCGUGCUUAACACAUGCAAGUCGAACGGAAAGGCCCUGCUUUUGUGGGGUGCUCGAGUGGCGAACGGGUGAGUAACACGUGAGUAACCUGCCCUUGACUUUGGGAUAACUUCAGGAAACUGGGGCUAUUACCGGAUAUGAGCUCCUUCUGCAUGGUGGGGGUUGGAAAGUUUCGGCGGUUGGGGAUGGACUCGCGGCUUAUCAGCUUGUUGGUGGGGUAGUGGCUUACCAAGGCUUUGACGGGUAGCCGGCCUGAGAGGGUGACCGGCCACAUUGGGACUGAGAUACGGCCCAGACUCCUACGGGAGGCAGCAGUGGGGAAUAUUGCACAAUGGGCGGAAGCCUGAUGCAGCAACGCCGCGUGCGGGAUGACGGCCUUCGGGUUGUAAACCGCUUUCGCCUGUGAAGAAGAGUGAGUGACGGUAAUGGGUAAAGAAGCACCGGCUAACUACGUG
rnacentral:rRNA from 1 species